UACGUAGGGGGCAAGCGUUGUCCGGAUUUAUUGGGCGUAAAGAGCUCGUAGGCGGCUUGGCAAGUCGGGUGUGAAAACUCCAGGCUCAACCUGGAGAUGCCACUCGAGACUGCUAUGGCUAGAGUCCGGUAGGGGACCACGGAAUUCCUGGUGUAGCGGUGAAAUGCGCAGAUAUCAGGAAGAACACCGGUGGCGAAGGCGGUG
rnacentral:rRNA from 1 species